UACAUCAGAAAUGGAUUUGGGGCUUCAGAAAUUAGAACUUCGUUCAACCCAUCUCUCUUCGCAAUUUCAAAAUCAGAACUUCGUUCAACCCAUCUCUCUUCGCGACCCAUCUCUCUUCGCGAUUUCUCCAAUUUGUGUUUUACAAGGCCGGUCGGUCAAUAGUUGUUCAUCUGGCUUACUUUUGGCAGCCGAAAACCAAUUACUCGAGAUCCAAAAAAAAAAUUUCUUUCUAUUUUAUGGACAUGUGGGGUCAAUGGUUUUUCUUUCUAAACAUUCCCACAAUGUUUAGUAGUACAUGAGAAUAUUCAGGAGGAGUCUACGAUUAAGAUUGGUGAUUUUAAUAAAUAAAAUUAAAAUAACGACUGUGCUGAGGUUAGGGAGUAAUGGCUGCUGUUAUAGAAUUUUAUUGUCUAGAUACUUUACUUUAGUUGCAGGAAUGUAUUGGUGGUGAUGAUAAUUCUGUAGUUUAAUUACUUUUGUUGGUUGUGAAUAUGUGCUUUGUUUUGUUUCACUUUUUUGGUCAGAAGCAUAAUGCCGUAGAAGAUAUUUUCAAUCUAGGCAAGAGGGCAGAGGAUGCAAAUACAGUGCAGAGGGUAAAAUUCCAGUCGGCAUCGAACUGAGAUGGUUGAGUAGGCAUCGGCAUCGGACUGAGGGCAGUGCACAGAUAGCAGCGAGGAAGAGAAGGCAAGAAGGCAAAUGAGAAACGGCCCGACCGGCGUGAACCAGGUAAACCCCUCUUUUCUCUUCCAGCCCCAUAGCCUAUCUCUUCUGCGAUGCACUUCUUCGACUGGAAUCCCGUAGCCCAUCUUUUUGUAUUCUCUGUAUAUGCUUGAGAUAUUUCUCUCAUGAAAAAACUAGUCCCUUCAUCUGUAGAUUCAGAGCACUCUCAUCUCCAUCUGCAGAUCUUUGUUUUUUCCAUCCAAGCCUCAAGGUACCGCCGUCGCACCUACUGUAAUUGCAGCGUCCACAUUCCGUGUACAACUUGCUGUUUCCUCCCUUGCAACGUCCACAUCCAACUCCAUUUCUUCCCUUGCUGUGUAAUAAAUAUUUUGUUUCCGUUUAUUUUAAAUAAUAUAGUUAAGUAUCCUUCAUCUCUUCGACA